CUCCCCAGCUGUGGAAUGUAACAUGCUGGCCAUAUCUUAUUAAUCACUUUUAUCUCACCAGCGUUCUUCCCCAGUGCUCAGCAGAGUACCUGGACCGCUGGCAUGCUUGGUAAAGAUGGUGAUGACGAGGAUGAAGUCACAGGCCAUCUAAAAUGAGGUGGUUAACCUGCUUAGCAAGUCCUACACAUCAUAGAUAUUAAUAAUGAUGACAAAGAUCACCGAAGCAGGAGGGUGCGUGGGCUGGAUAUGGGGGUAGUCAGCAGUGUCUUAAACAGGAAGUGGCGCAGAGAAGCCUCGAAGCAAGGCCUUUACUACCCUCAUUCCUAUGCCUGUGCUUCUACAUAAAUACAGAAAGCGUUAUCUGAGCAGUUUGGGUUCUCCUGGACAAGAACUCAUCCCCGCUCCUACUAGACUGCAAUUCGGUAUGCAAGAACUGCACAGGAAUAAAAAUCAGUAGUGCUAUUCCCUCACUCUUUCGUGUGAGGACACAUCCAUCCACCCAUUUGUCAGGCAUCUACCAUGUGUCUGUUACUUUACUAUUAGCUGCUCAUGAGCUACAAUCAAGAAAGAGCUAAAGUGGACUUGGCCUCUGUCCUUGCUGAGCUUGAAAUCUUCCCACCAGCGAUCAUAUCAUCACACAUACCAGACAUGGUGGUGCAGAGCUGUAAUCCCAGCACUCAAGAGGUGGAGGCGGGAAGAUCACAAGUUCAUGUUCACCCUUGGCUAUACAGUUAGGGACAGGCUUGAACUACAUGACUCUGUCUCGAAAAGAAAUUAUCACAUACUGUGAGGUACAAAAUUUACGGCUAUGGUAAAGUGCUCUGUGGGAGAGAAUGAAGGCAGGUUGUAAGAAGAUGUAGACAGAAGGAGGCCCCUUUCAUCCCACAGAAACCAGAAACUGAGUAGACACAGAUGUCCGUGCCAAGCCAUACAAGGCCUCAACAGAGCCCACCUGCCACCACACUGAUAGAUGCCCCCAUCCCAAGGAGCAAGUUGACCAAGCACCUGUAGGUGAUCUUCGAAGAUGUCCAGUCCAGGAAGCAGUUAGACAGAAAAAGGUGCACACACUGAGGAUUUACCAGCCAGACACCCAGCUGGCUGUCCAUGACUCACUGAUCACCUGUUCCAUCGCCGUAAGUAGGGAAAAGACACAGAGCAUGGUUUACGAAUGAGAUGAGCAACUUGCCGCAGUUCCUAGGACUUCCCCAGUUUUAGUAUUGAAAGCCCGAUCUUUUGAAAAUCUUUGAAGACAGAGCUCUGUGUUGUGUUCAGGAGCUCUUCCUCAUUCUCUUCAGUGAGACUUUUUCAAUUGACCUGUGUGCAUGUGGGUGCUGGAAUAAUACCUGUGGCUGCUUGCGCUGUGUGCCCAGUGCCAGCAUUUACGAGAAGCCCAAUGGCAGCAGUGGCAGUGAGGAUGAGCGGCUGCUAGGUCCCUCCUCUAUCGCUGGUGGGUUACACCCUAAGAAGAAGAGGAGAAGGUGGAGGAGGAAGAGCAAGAAGAAGAAGAAGAGGAGGAGGAGGAACAGGAGGAGGAGGGGGAGGAAGAAGAAUUUUGUCAAAAAGAACCCAACAGGGCCCACCCUCCUUUGCCAAGUUCCGAAGGAUACCGAAGUUCAGAGGAGUCAGCCGAUUAUUUGCUCCACGUCACAAACCUUCCAUGCAGAAGAGCCUGUAUUCAAAUCCUGAUCUGCCUGAUUCAGACAUCAAGGUCUCAGCCAACCACUGCCAUACUCCAUAGUUUUGUGAUCCUGAAGAACCAAGCUCUGGCAGGCUUAGGGAAUGUCCAAGUGAUGCAUGAACCAUCUGAAGAAGGUAGAGCCAUGACUCAUCCCGGCUGCUAUUUUGUGGGAGGACCCAGCAAUUUUUCUUUGUGAUGGGAGCCUGCUGGGAGCAAUUUAGAUAUGAAGCAACUUCUGUUUGGUGCAUAGUAGAGAUUCAAUAAAGACUUGUUGAUUGACUAA